GCGGGCGUAGUUCACCGGUAGAACGUCUCGUUGCCAACGAGAAGGCAGUGGGUUCGAUCCCCAUCGCCCGCUCCA
rnacentral:tRNA from 1 species